GAGAGCACAGUAAGAUGAAAGUUGUAAGCUGUGUUCGAGGGGGAGUUAUUUUCUAUCGUUGGCCUCUAUGGUAGAAUCAGUCAGAGGCCUGAGAGGCGGUGGUUUACCCUGC
rnacentral:ncRNA from 1 species